rnacentral:misc_RNA from 1 species
AACGGUCUAUACCUGCGGUACCUGCGGAAGGAUCAUUAUAGAGUGGUAAACCCCCCGUAAAAGGGGGGGACCUCCUGUCCUUUGUAGGCUCUUUUUUAAAAGGGCUUUUUUUAAUUUUCUGCUUCGGUGGGGUUAUCCCACCGGAACAACCUCAAAACUCUUAUCAAAAAAUCGUUCUGUCUGAGAACCUUUUAUAAUAAAAAAAAACUUUUAGCAACGGAUCUCUAGAUCGGAAGAGCA